rnacentral:rRNA from 1 species
GACGAACCGUGCGAACGUUAUUCGGAAUCACUGGGCCUAAAGCGCGUGUAGGCGGGCCGGCACGUCCGACGCUGAAAUCCCCCGGCUCAACCGGGGAAGCGGCGCGGAUACGACCGGCCUGGAGGGGGGGUAGGGGGAGCGGGAACUGCCGGUGGAGCGGUGAAAUGCGUUGAGAUCGGCAGGAACGCCCGCGGCGAAAGCGCGCUCCUGGACCCCGCCUGACGCUGAGACGCGAAAGCCAGGGGAGCGAACGGG